GGGAAAAGAUGAAGAUUCAGUAAAGAAUGUGUAUACCGUAUUGGAUACUUCAGCUCAACUGUGAAUUGAUGUGCAAAUAAUUUCCUUGGGAAGAACUCUUUAUCCUGUAAAAGUGGUGGUCGUGUUGUGAAGAUGUGGAACAACCGGAAAUCUCAUGCACUGCUGGAGGAAUGUAAAUUGGUACAAGCUACCUGUCAAACCAGCAGCAGAGACAAGAGUUUCGCCUGAGGUGAACCUGGCUUGUCGCAGGAGGUAAGGUGAGUGAAAAGCUCAGUAUGUGUCCCCUUGACCCAUAGAAUUUCAAUCUUUACUUAAAAGACAAGAGAAUC